CAGCAGCCGCGGUAAUACGGAGGGGGCUAGCGUUGUUCGGAAUGACUGGGCGUAAAGGGCGCGUAGGCGGAUUGUUUAGUUAGGCGUGAAAUUCCUGGGCUUAACCUGGGGACUGCGCUUAAUACAGGCAGUCUAGAGUGAGGAAGAGGGUUGUGGAAUUCCCAAUGUAGAGGUGAAAUUCGUAGAUAUUGGGAAGAACACCGGUGGCGAAGGCGGCAACCUGGUCCUUGACUGACGCUGAGGCGCGAAAGCAUGGGGAGCAAACAGGAUUAGAUACCCCCGUAGUCCCUGUCUCUUAUAA
rnacentral:rRNA from 1 species